ACGACCAGCCACACUGGGACUGAGACACGGCCCAGACUCCUACGGGAGGCAGCAGUGGGGAAUUUUGGACAAUGGGGGAAACCCUGAUCCAGCCAUGCCGCGUGAGUGAAGAAGGCCUUCGGGUUGUAAAGCUCUUUCAGCCGGAACGAAAAGGUUACGGUUAAUACCCGUGACUAAUGACGGUACCGGAAGAAGAAGCACCGGCUAACUACGUGCCAGCAGCCGCGGUAAUACGUAGGGUGCGAGCGUUAAUCGGAAUUACUGGGCGUAAAGCGUGCGCAGGCGGUUUUGUAAGUCAGAUGUGAAAUCCCCGGGCUCAACCUGGGAACUGCGUUUGAAACUACAA
rnacentral:rRNA from 1 species